AAAAUCCUAUUGCCUUGGCCGAGCUCUCUAGCAUCCCUGAGCGUCUGUUUCCUCACUUGUCUAAGGGAUGAUCGUCCUGAGCUGUUUGUUGUAAGGAUUGCACGACACAGGAAGGUAGAGAGCUUUGUGCGAGGAGUGACUCAUGAGAAGCACUUCCUGACGGCUUUCAUGGUAACUGGGAAGAGGGUAUCUGCUCAGUGAGUCCCCAGAUCGCGGAGAUGGGGGGAAGAAUGUGCUUGAAGGAAUGCACGUGGCAAAUAAGAGAAGGUAGAGCGUUCACACGCAGUGGUUGGCAGCUGAUGAAAUCCUCGUUCCGGAAGGCCGUGCGUAGCUCUGAACUCCCAUCCUGCAGGUCGGAGGAUGGCUGGAGGUCUGCAACGUUAACGGCCAGACUUUACAGGGUGCCCCCCCGCGCACCAGGCACCGUCCGUGAAAGCCUCCAGACAACUCUGAAGUAUUACUACCAUCCCCUGGUGCCAGGCAGGAAGACUGGAGGUUAGCCCUCUGCAGUGAAGUUUAACGAGAGCGUCUUCCAGGAAGCUGCCUAGAUGCUCCUUGGCAGAAUAUUCUCCACAGCCCUCGGAACUAAGAAGCUCCUUCUCUGCCUUCUCUGUCCUUCAGUCCAUCUGUCCCCGUGGAAGCUCGUUUCAGGCUGUGGCCGACCGGGGAGAUGCCGGGAGCCUGUCUGUCGUCAGGCUUCAGGGCCACCAACAAAGUCCCCCUCCUGGUUCCAGCCUGCCCUGUAAUUAGGUGUUUUAAUUGGGCCCUCUGUUUAUACUCAGCCAGAAUUGUUGUGCUGGCGUGGGCCUCACACGGGCAGUGGCUGCCUGGCUAUAAUCCCGGCUCUCCCCUGGGGAGGUGGUAUUUAUUAUGAAGGGGAUGAAAUCCGGGGCCACACACCCAGGCCUUCUGCAGUGGCUUGGGAGCCUGGGAUCGUCGUCUGGGAUGAUCUCGCCUAAUGACAGCGCUCUGCUUUUCCCUAGAAUACCGUCUUCAGUCACUGAGCUCCACAUGACAGCCACCAUUGCUAUCCCUCCUCCUAGACCAGUGUGAGAAGCUUCUAGAUGAAGAAUGGGGGUCCUAGAGCUUUGAUCCAGGGUGGGACCAAUUGCUACAACCCAAAAAAGCCCGGUCUCUAGAGUCAAGCCUCAACUAACUAAAAUUUUAUGUUCCUGAAACUGUAACAAGCUCUAAAGUAUAACAAAUGGGGAAAAGAAUGAAUUAUUACUUAUAAACACAAGAUAUUUGAAAUGUGUAUACUAGACCACGGAAUCCACUGAAGGAAAAACAGUCUACCGUACAAAGCUAGUUGGGUUGAAGUAAUGAUCCCAAGGCGGGG